AGACCCGAAACCCGGUGAUCUAGCCAUGGGCAGGUUGAAGGUUGGGUAACACUAACUGGAGGACCGAACCGACUAAUGUUGAAAAAUUAGCGGAUGACCUGUGGCUGGGGGUGAAAGGCCAAUCAAACCGGGAGAUAGCUGGUUCUCCCCGAAAGCUAUUUAGGUAGCGCCUCGUGAAUUCAUCUCCGGGGGUAGAGCACUGUUUCGGCUAGGGGGCCAUCCCGGCUUACCAACCCGAUGCAAACUGCGAAUACCGGAGAAUGUUAUCACGGGAGACACACGGCGGGUGCUAACGUCCGUCGUGAAGAGGGAAACAACCCAGACCGCCAGCUAAGGUCCCAAAGUCAUGGUUAAGUGGGAAACGAUGUGGGAAGGCCCAGACAGCCAGGAUGUUGGCUUAGAAGCAGCCAUCAUUUAAAGAAAGCGUAAUAGCUCACUGGUCGAGUCGGCCUGCGCGGAAGAUGUAACGGGGCUAAACCAUGCACCGAAGCUGCGGCAGCGACGCUGAUGCGUUGUUGGGUAGGGGAGCGUUCUGUAAGCCUGUGAAGGUGGCCUGUGAGGGUUGCUGGAGGUAUCAGAAGUGCGAAUGCUGACAUAAGUAACGAUAAAGCGGGUGAAAAGCCCGCUCGCCGGAAGACCAAGGGUUCCUGUCCAACGUUAAUCGGGGCAGGGUGAGUCGACCCCUAAGGCGAGGCCGAAAGGCGUAGUCGAUGGGAAACGGGUUAAUAUUCCCGUACUUGGUGUUACUGCGAAGGGGGGACGGAGAAGGCUAUGUUGGCCGGGCGACGGUUGUCCCGGUUUAAGCGUGUAGGUGUGUGUUCCAGGUAAAUCCGGUUCACUUUAACACUGAGGCGUGACGACGAGGCACUACGGUGCUGAAGCAACAAAUGCCCUGCUUCCAGGAAAAGCCUCUAAGCAUCAGGUAACAUCAAAUCGUACCCCAAACCGACACAGGUGGUCAGGUAGAGAAUACCAAGGCGCUUGAGAGAACUCGGGUGAAGGAACUAGGCAAAAUGGUGCCGUAACU
rnacentral:rRNA from 6 species